UGCCAGACUCCUACGGGAGGCAGCAGUGGGGAAUAUUGCACAAUGGGGGAAACCCUGAUGCAGCGACGCCGCGUGAGCGAAGAAGUACCUCGGUAUGUAAAGCUCUAUCAGCAGGGAAGAAGAUGACGGUACCUGACCAAGAAGCUCCGGCUAAAUACGUGCCAGCAGCCGCGGUAAUACGUAUGGAGCAAGCGUUAUCCGGAUUUACUGGGUGUAAAGGGAGCGUAGGCGGCAAGGCAAGUCUGAUGUGAAAACCCAGGGCCCAACCCUGGGACUGCAUUGGAAACUGUAUUGCUUGAGUACCGGAGAGGCAGGCGGAAUUCCUAGUGUAGCGGUGAAAUGCGUAGAUAUUAGGAGGAACACCAGUGGCGAAGGCGGCCUGCUGGACGGUAACUGACGCUGAGGCUCGAAAGCGUGGGGAGCAAACAGGAUUAGAUACCCCGGUA
rnacentral:rRNA from 1 species